rnacentral:rRNA from 1 species
GACGAACGCUGGCGGCGUGCUUAACACAUGCAAGUCGAGCGGUAAGGCCCUUUCGGGGGUACGACGAGCGGCGAACGGGUGAGUAACACGUGGGUGACCUGCCCUCAGCUCUGGGAUAAGCCUGGGAAACCGGGCCUAAUACUGGAUAUGACUCCAUGACGCAUGUUGUGGGGUGGAAAGCCUUGUGCGGCUGAGGAUGGGCCCGCGGCCUAUCAGCUUGUUGGUGGGGUGAUGGCCUACCAAGGCGACGACGGGUAGCCGGCCUGAGAGGGCGACCGGCCACACUGGGACUGAGACACGGCCCAGACUCCUACGGGAGGCAGCAGUGGGGAAUCUUGCGCAAUGGGCGAAAGCCUGACGCAGCGACGCCGCGUGAGGGAUGACGGCCUCGGUUGU